rnacentral:rRNA from 1 species
GAAACGAUCGCUAAUACCGCAUGACAUAGCGGAAUCGCAUGGUUCUGUUAUCAAAGAUUUAUCGCUGAUAGAUGGGCUCGCGUCCGAUUAGAUAGUUGGUGGGGUAACGGCCUACCAAGUCGACGAUCGGUAGCCGGACUGAGAGGUCGAACGGCCACAUUGGGACUGAGACACGGCCCAGACUCCUACGGGAGGCAGCAGUGGGGGAUAUUGCACAAUGGGGGAAACCCUGAUGCAGCGACGCCGCGUGAGGGAAGACGGUCCUUGGAUUGUAAACCUCUGUCUUCGGGGACGAAACGAGACGGUACCCGAGGAGGAAGCCACGGCUAACUACGUGCCAGCAGCCGCGGUAAUACGUAGGUGGCAAGCGUUGCCCGGAAUUACUGGGUGUAAAGGGAGCGUAGGCGGGCAGGCAAGUCAGGCGUGAAAUAUAUCGGCUCAACCGGUAACGGCGCUUGAAACUGCAGGUCUUGAGUGAAGUAGAGGUUGGCGGAAUUCCUAGUGUAGCGGUGAAAUGCGUAGAUAUUAGGAGGAACACCAGUGGCGAAGGCGGCCAACUGGGCUUUUACUGACGCUGAGGCUCGAAAGUGUGGGGAGCAAACAGGAUUAGAUACCCUGGUAGUCCACACCGUAAACGAUGAUUGCUAGGUGUGGGGGGACUGACCCCUUCCGUGCC